rnacentral:lncRNA from 10 species
UUGGGUGGGGCCAUGUGACCAGUUCUAACCCAUGAGCUGUCAGCAGAAGUAAUCUGUGUCAUUUCUAGGUUGAGCUUUCAGUGGCCAAUGAGAGACCUUCCAGAAGUCUCUUCCCUCCAGAAAGGUAACCAGAAAUUAUCAAAAUAGCAGUUGCUCCAUCAGCCUGAGAACUUGAGUGAUUAUGAGGACAAAGUUCAUGGCUCACUGUGAUGAACUCUUUCUGAGGGAAAAAGUUAAAAGUACCUAUAGAUUGAUCUCAGCUUUCAGAUGGCCUUUGAUAAAGCAAAACAUCCAUUUCACAGAAAGAGAAUGCAUUUCAAAUGUUUUGCCAAUGCACGCCUUAAUUAAAGCAAAGUCAAGGACUAAUGUGAAUCCAAAAGUCUAGGAGCAGAGAACUGAAGAUUUGAAGAAGCUUAACUGUGAAAUGAACAGCUAUAGCACCUGCACGAAUGAGUCCAUGAGCUCCAUUCCUGAGGGCGGAUUUUGAGAGUGGCCUAUAGAGAUAGCAGAGUCCCCUGGCUGCCCUGAGAGAUGAAGAGAGACACAGCCACAGAAGAGGUGACGGACGGAAACUCCUGCCAUCUUCCUAUGCAGUUUUGGCCUGGCUGUCCUUGCCAGGCACCCUCAAGAAGCUCCAGCCUCAGAUUUUAAAAGCUGUGUAACUUUUUGAACUCAAAGAAAGAUCUUUGGCUAAAAUGGCCCCCCAAAACCUUUGUUAAACAAGCACAGUAUGUAACCCAGUCCUCUUCUUCUGCCCGGGCAUCCCCCAGAUACUGCCCUUUGCAGUAGAAGCAGCCCAAGGUGUCGGGGCCCAUGACAAGGGAAUCAAAACUUUUCUCUUGUCAGGUGUGUGUGAGGAGGUACCUUGGUCAUCUGUGAUUCUUG